UACGAAGGGGGCGAGCGUUGUUCGGAAUUACUGGGCGUAAAGGGUGCGUAGGCGGGUCUUUAAGUCAGGGGUGAAAUCCUGGAGCUCAACUCCAGAACUGCCUUUGAUACUGAGGAUCUUGAGUUCGGGAGAGGUGAGUGGAACUGCGAGUGUAGAGGUGAAAUUCGUAGAUAUUCGCAAGAACACCAGUGGCGAAGGCGGCUCACUGGCCCGAUACUGACGCUGAGGCACGAAAGCGUGGGGAGCAAACAGG
rnacentral:rRNA from 1 species